GAUGAACGCUGGCGGCGGGCCUAAUACAUGCAAGUCGAACGGGAAGCAGAUCAAAGUUUGCUUUGGUCUGGUGAGGGUGGCGCGCGGGUGCGUAACGCGUGAGCAACCUACCCUUGUGAGGGGGAUAGGCCGGCGAAAGUCGGAUUAAUAACGCAUGACAGCAUCGAGAGGCAUCUUUGGAUGAUCCAAGAUUUAUCGGACAAGGAUGGGCUCGCGUGACAUUUGCUAGUUGGUAAGGUAACGGCUUAUCAAGGCGGCGAUGUCGAGGGGCGCUGAGAGGAGACGCCCCCAGACUGGUACCGGGACCCUGACCACUCUGCUACGGGAGGCAGCAGUAAGGAAUAUAGGUGAAGGGACGGAAGUCUAAACCAGCCAUGCCGGGUGCAGGAAGACCGCCCUAGGGAUUGUAAACUGCUUUUAUACAGGAACUAUCGUCGGUACGUGUACCGGUCUGACGGUACCGGAUGAAUAAGCAUCGGCUAACUCCGUG
rnacentral:rRNA from 1 species